GAAAACUCACCAAGGGCGACUGUUACAUGAAAGCCAGGCUAAUGACCUUGCUAGAUUUUCAGAGAGGUGGUGCAUGGCCGUCGUCAGUUCGUACCGUAAGGCGUUCUCUUAAGUGAGAUAACGAACGAGACCCUCACUGAUAAUUGCUACUUCACCCUCCGGGGUGGAGGCACAUUAUUGGGACCGCUGACGCUAAGUCAGAGGAAGGAGAGGUCAACGGUAGGUCAGUAUGCCCCGAAUCUCUUGGGCUACACGCGCGCUACAAAGGGCGGGACAAUGGGCUCCGACGCCGAAAGGCGAAGGCAAUCUCGAAACCCGUCCAUAGUUCGGACUGAGGGUUGUAACUCACCCUCACGAAGCUGGAUUCCGUAGUAAUCGCGAAUCAACAACUCGCGGUGAAUAUGCCCCUGCUCCUUGCACACACCGCCCGUCAAACCAUCCGAGUUGGGUUUCAGUGAGGUGGCCUUUAAUUGGGGUCUUCAAACUGAGAUUUAGCAAGGAAGGUUAAGUCGUAACAAGGUAUCUGUAGGGGCU
rnacentral:rRNA from 1 species